UGAAGGUGGCGCUCUCUGAGGCGGUCCGGCUCUCUCAGGGUGUUCCGGCAGGCUUCUCGACGUGUGAGUUACAUUCGACGCCUGGUACUCAGACCGACGCGUUAACAGAGAAGCAGGCAUUCAUUAACCUCUCAGGACUGCUCAUCCUGACCCUGUAACUGGAUGGAGCCAUGUGACUAGUCUUGGCCAGUGAAUUGUGAAGGGGAGAUGAGGCAUGAAAGUUUCUGUCUGGCACAAGAUUCUCCAGAGCGCUUUAUGUCACUGGGACCAGCAAUAUUCCAGAGAAUGGGCUCUUUACUCUGGAUCUAGAGUAAGAACAAUCCAGAACAAAGAACUGCCUCUAUUCACAACAGACAGAUUCUUCAAGUGAGUGAAAACCUAUGGCAUUUGUCUUUCCCAAUAUGAAUUAUUUGACUGAUAUAAUACCUUCUUCAUCCAAGAUGUUGUCACAAAAUGAACUACUAAUAUGAAGAAAACCAUUAAGGAAACUUCAGAACAGACAUAAUUAAUCAUGCUAUCCAACAUGAAAAUGCAGUUGCUGUGGAAACACUAGAGCAAAUGGCAGAGCUAUGACUUGAACCCUAAUUUGUUUGGCUCAGAGACACUAUGAGUCCCUCUAUUACCAUCUGUCCUCCAGAAGGGCUCUAAUAAGAGUCAUUCAUAUUGUGUACAUGCUAACAUACUGUGUACUGCUAACAUUUUUUGGAACACACCUUUAGGUCAAUCAUAAAAAAAAC